ACUCUCGGCAACGGAUAUCUCGGCUCUCGCAUCGAUGAAGAACGUAGCGAACUGCGAUACUUGGUGUGAAUUGCAGAAUCCCGUGAACCAUCGAGUCUUUGAACGCAAGUUGCGCCCGAAGCCAUUAGGCCGAUGGCACGUCUGCCUGGGCGUCACGC
rnacentral:rRNA from 1 species